rnacentral:lncRNA from 1 species
AAUACCGGUGAAAUCCACAUGGUGUUCAAGGACAAGUCAAUAGAAUGGCGAGAAGCAUGGUGUUCGAGAACAAGUCAAUAGAAUGACAAGACAUGUGCAAAUCGUAUGUCACUCAAUGGGUAUUGAAACCAUAUUAAGAAUUUGGAUUUCAUAUUAAAACAUCGACCUUUUCAAGAGAGGUAGUCCAAGCAUUUAUAUGUUGUUUGUUUCAUCUUUUAUCGAUGUGUCCUAUUAUCACAUAACAAUAUUAAGUCAUUGCACCUCAAGACGGAUUGAUAUAUUUUCUCCUUUGGAGCACUAACAGUCCUAAUGAGGUUGCUUAUCAUGCCACACAAUAACCCUCCUUAGGCACUCUAGAACACUUCCAACAUGCUACUCGAUCGGCAUCUCUAAUUUUUUUUAUGUAUUUAUAAAUUUAUUAAUUCAAGGACACUUAAUAGGUAGACGUCGUGCACAUAUUCAACAAGCUUCAUGGUGUGCCAUAAAUUGUUCAUAUUUUAGAUAGUGAUACGACACGAACCAUCUUGAUACAUCAAUAUUAUGCACCGGUCCAUUUUGUAAGUAUGCAAUUGAAAAUUAUCUAAAUAAUAUAUAAUUUUACCAAAAAUUAUCUUAAUGAAACAAAUAAUUUCCUGAGCUAAAGUCGAAGCAAAAAAAGAAGUUUACUCUUUUAACUGAAAGAAACAUACCAAAAUAAAUGAAGUUAAAGAAAUUGUAUCGAGGUGUCCCAACAUGUCGAUGUCCUGCUUUUAUAAAUAUCAAGUGUCGACAUGUCCGUUUUGUGUCAUUUGUCCAUGUACAUGUCCUACUUCAUCAGUGUCAUUUCUUAAUAACGUUCAAAGAGCUCCAGUUACACCACCUUUUACCAACACCGGAGAGGAAAUGUAUAUCUAGAACUUCUCAAAUAUCUUCUUAUGUUGCAGAGAGAAUUCCCAUAUUAAGAAAAUUCAAUUCUUACAACCCAAUCUCCCAUUAAGUGAUAAUUUCUUGCUUAUUGUCUUUCUUUAUUGUAAUUUUUGUCAUUCUAAAUUUCUGGUUUGUUGGCUCUUAUCUGAAUAUACAGGUAUCUAUGAAUUUUAGAACAAGUUCUACAGUGAAUUUCUUUUUUUCUUUCAGCAUUUUUUGUGAAUUUAGUUCACUCAUUGGUUUAAUGAACAAAUCAUCUAACGAACUAGAAGUGUGACAUACUCGUUCUAGGCUUAGAUUAUUUAUGUGUCCCCUUAACAAGAUGUGAGAAAGAACUUUGUGAAGCAUUAACCUAUCCGAUUGUGGAAGUCAAAGUUGACUGUUGUUUGUUUUUUUUACACAUAAUAUACAAUUUAGAAUUAUUCUACAGAAAUUCAAAUUGACAUAUAGAUAUACGCAUCUGUCAAACUACAUAUACAAAUUUUCUCUACAUGUAGCAAAGCUCUAAAUAAUUGGCAUUUAAGAUUCAGUUAUGCUAUGUGUACAGAAAAAAGUGCUGCCAAAAUUGCUACACAACACACUUGACAGUUUUCUAUUGGACAAUGGCUAAGAAAAAAAAAAGGACAGACAGAUGCUGCCAGUAGCAUCUGAAAAGAUUCUGGUAGCAAUGCCUCUGUACAAGGGGAAUUGCGAUUUCAGAUUAAAUUGUGGAUUGAAGCAUAAUAAUGUGCAAUUUGUGUGCGCCAGAAUUUAUUUUUGCCAUGUGCAAUUGUUGCGCUUCAAAUUGGUCUUGGGGAUUGAAACAUUCCACCUACAACAUAACGGUUCAUUGGAUUUUUUCCACCCAUAAUAGCUACAUAAACUGUAUAGAAUAAAAGAUAAAUCCAUACAACUGCAUAAAAUUUGACGCUGGUUAGAAUUUUAUCCCAAAUGUCAAGCUCCUCUAUUCCUUUUUAGCAAUUCUUCUAUCAAACAUUUUAAGGUUUUUUAUGUAUUAAAAUAAUGUUUAGUUCUAGGAAAAUUCUUGAGAUACUGUAAGCAAUCUCCCUUGCAAUACCGGUGAAAUCCACAUGGUGUUCAAGGACAAGUCAAUAGAAUGGCGAGAAGCAUGGUGUUCGAGAACAAGUCAAUAGAAUGACAAGACAUGUGCAAAUCGUAUGUCACUCAAUGGGUAUUGAAACCAUAUUAAGAAUUUGGAUUUCAUAUUAAAACAUCGACCUUUUCAAGAGAGGUAGUCCAAGCAUUUAUAUGUUGUUUGUUUCAUCUUUUAUCGAUGUGUCCUAUUAUCACAUAACAAUAUUAAGUCAUUGCACCUCAAGACGGAUUUUCUCCUUUGGAGCACUAACAGUCCUAAUGAGGUUGCUUAUCAUGCCACACAAUAACCCUCCUUAGGCACUCUAGAACACUUCCAACAUGCUACUCGAUCGGCAUCUCUAAUUUUUUUUAUGUAUUUAUAAAUUUAUUAAUUCAAGGACACUUAAUAGGUAGACGUCGUGCACAUAUUCAACAAGCUUCAUGGUGUGCCAUAAAUUGUUCAUAUUUUAGAUAGUGAUACGACACGAACCAUCUUGAUACAUCAAUAUUAUGCACCGGUCCAUUUUGUAAGUAUGCAAUUGAAAAUUAUCUAAAUAAUAUAUAAUUUAACCAAAAAUUAUCUUAAUGAAACAAAUAAUUUCCUGAGCUAAAGUCGAAGCAAAAAAGAAGCUUACUCUUUUAACUGAAAGAAACAUACCAAAAUAAAUGAAGUUAAAGAAUUUGUAUCGAGGUGUCCCAACAUGUCGAUGUCCUGCUUUUAUAAAUAUCAAGUGUCGACAUAUCCGUUUUGUGUCAUUUGUCCAUGUACAUGUCCUACUUCAUCAGUUUCAUUUCUUAAUAACGUUCAAAGAGCUCCAGUUACACCACCUUUUACCAACACCGGAGAGGAAAUGUAUAUCUAGAACUUCUCAAAUAUCUUCUUAUGUUGCAAAGAGAAUUCCCAUAUUAAGAAAAUUCAAUUCUUACUACCCAAUCUCCCAUUAAGUGAUAAUUUCUUGCUUAUUGUCUUUCUUUAUUGUAAUUUUUGUCAUUCUAAAUUUCUGGUUUGUUGGCUCUUAUCUGAAUAUACAGGUAUCUAUGAAUUUUAGUACAAGUUCUACAGUGAAUUUCCUUUUUUCUUUCAGCAUUUUUUGUUUGUGUUUAACACUUAAUAUACAACUUAGAAUUAUUCUACAGAAAUUCAAAUUGACAUAUAG